rnacentral:rRNA from 1 species
UCUCCGUUGGUGAACCAGCGGAGGGAUCAUUACCGAGUUUACAACUCCCAAACCCAAUGUGAACGUUACCAAACUGUUGCCUCGGCGGGAUCUUCUGCCCCGGGUGCGUCGCAGCCCCGGACCAAGGCGCCCGCCGGAGGAAUCAACCAAAACUCUUAUUGUAUACCCCCUCGCGGGUUUUUUUUUAUAAUCUGAGCCUUCUCGGCGCCUCUCGUAGGCGUUUCGAAAAUGAAUCAAAACUUUCAACAACGGAUCUCUUGGUUCUGGCAUCGAUGAAGAACGCAGCGAAAUGCGAUAAGUAAUGUGAAUUGCAGAAUUCAGUGAAUCAUCGAAUCUUUGAACGCACAUUGCGCCCGCCAGUAUUCUGGCGGGCAUGCCUGUCCGAGCGUCAUUUCAACCCUCGAACCCCUCCGGGGGGUCGGCGUUGGGGAUCGGCCCUCCUCUUGCGGGGGCCGUCUCCGAAAUACAGUGGCGGUCUCGCCGCAGCCUCUCCUGCGCAGUAGUUUGCACACUCGCAUCGGGAGCGCGGCGCGUCCACAGCCGUUAAACACCCAACUUUCUGAAAUGUUGACCUCGGAUCAGGUAGGAAUACCCGCUGAACUUAA